ensembl:lncRNA novel transcript
GUUCUUCCAGGUGAGUUCGUGGUCUCCAGGGCUUCAGGAGCGAAGCUGCAGACCUUCACGGGUCUCACUCUGUUGCCCAGGCUGGAAUGCAGUGGCGCAAUCUUGGCUGACUGCAGCCUCUGUCUCCCUGGUUCAAGUGAUUCUCAUGCCUCAGCCUCCCGAGUAGCUGGGACUACAAGCGUGUGCCACCACGCCUGGGAUAUUCCACUAUAAAGGUAAAACUUAUAAAAACAGAAAACCUAAAAAGGAGAAAUCAGAAAGAAGGUGCAUCAUGCUAAUGCCUAUAUGUUUAUUCCUGCUACCUCCAAUAGUUCACUGAUAAUUCAGAUUCAGACCAAUGGAGAAACCAUGGGAGGAAAAAAACAAACUUUUACUCUGAUUUCCCUUGGAAUCCAGUCACCAUGCUGUGAGGAAAUCAAAGCCAAAGGGAAGUUUCACAUGAAGAGCAAUCAAGUCGUUUAGCCCUCAGCCUGAUGACCACCCUACUGACUGCUGCCCGUAGAUUAUAUUGCCACCAUGGAAGAGGAGGAGCUGGAAGGAGAUUCUGAAGCCUUGGGACAAAGCUGGUGCUGCGGCAGUCAGAGCAGAGAGACAGAAUGAUGCCACUGAUUGCUGUGCUUUUGGAGACUGUUCUACUUCUGAAUUUCCAAUUCAGUGAAAUAAUGCCUGUCCUCAUUUAUUAGCCUUUUAGAGCUCUGCUGCUGUCCUGUCCAUAAGGUUAUUUGUUGGUAAAAUAUUAAACUACAGGAAACAUAACAGCCUCAGAAAAGCAUGACUCAACAUGAGCCUGGGACAACUCAGGGUCUCUCUACUGUGCACAGCAUUUGUUCUGCUUUCAAGGCUCCCCACAGCAUCUGAAGCUUUACAUCCCUGGAGGCAACUGCCCAUAUGUUUACCUUUAUUACCAACUGCAGUUUCCAGGCAUCUGCUAAAUUACAAUUUUGAGUGCUUAAUGGUGAUUUCAUUUGUGUAAAAAAAAAGCGGGGAGACUCUUUGCCCCUCAUUAACUUAGAAUGGCAUUGCACCACACCGUAGAGCUGGCAUAUAGGUAUAUUGAAAGAAGUGGGUAGAGCUAAGAGGAUUAGAAGCUUAUGUGUGCCGUGAGGAGAAGCUGAGACUCAGGUUAGCAUCUCACUGUAUUUCUGUGAGGAGGAGAUAUUGGUGCAAGAUCUCAAGCAGACAAGCAAAAUCCAUCCCUAUCCAACAACUCCUACCUAUUGAGCAAAUGAUUUAAAAAGUGGUUACUGUGCCAUCAGAAAAA